rnacentral:rRNA from 1 species
UACGUAGGGGGCGAGCGUUGUCCGGAGUUACUGGGCGUAAAGCGCACGCAGGCGGUGUUGCGCGUUUGGGGUUACAGCUCCCGGCUCAACCGGGAGAGCGCCUCGAAGACGGCAGCACUUGAGGGCCAGAGAGGGACACGGAACUCCGGAUGGAGUGGUGAAAUGCGUAGAUAUCCGGAAGAACACCAAAGGCGAAGGCAGUGUCCUGGCUGGUACCUGACGCUCAGGUGCGAAAGCUAGGGGAGCGAACGGG